ACCAUUUAGAUUAUUCUAUUAAGAUAGAGCGAGGGUUAGUGCUCUGACUAACGCUACUCAAAUAUUUACUCAGUGCGGUGACACACUUAACCCGCACACACACACACACAAGCAAACACCCUUAUUUGAUUGAGCCGAAAAUCUUCGUCACCCGUGAUAAUUGACCGACAUUAUCACCAAUUCGACAAAGUAGCCGUCGUCGGUGAAAGAACAACACCGAAAAGAAAACAAAGCAGCUCGCUGCGCGAUAAUGUUUGUUUCGACCGUCGCGUCACCAUAGUCACGAAGCUGUCUCCUCGCACACACACCUCCACCCGAUCGCUGCUCGCCUGGUGCAACCAAAAUACAAUCAUGGCUGAAGCCGAAAGUGAGAGUGAUUCGCGCGGUUGUUGUUGUGUUUUUUUUGGUGCCCUAACGCGCGCCGGCUGAUAUGUUUUUGUUGCCGUUCCGCUUUCGGGUCGUCAUUCGUCCGCGGCGGUCGUUAAAAGUACGUUCGUUGACCCACAUUCGCGAGGCGCGUCAGCAACCAGCAAGCUUUUUUUGUUUGUUUGUUUGUGUGUGCGCGAUGACCGGUACGCAUUUUCUUGGGCGGAAUCAAAGCAAGCUUUGAGGUUUUCUGAAGGAGAGGAAGGGCGGUUUGUUUCCGCGGCGGUGUGAGGUAAUUUGGUAAUCGGCGUUGAGGUCGGAUGUAGGAAUUGGAUAAUCGACAACCGGUUCGGGGAGGUGGUUUUGCGGUAGAAGUGAAAGUCCUUCUUCUACUUGUGCCGCUUUUGAGCUGUUUAUUGUUGGUGGCAGCAGGCGAAAGCAAUGCCCAUUCCAGGGCCAGAAGGGAGGCCAACCCUGGUGAAGAUUCCACAACACCAAAGCCGAGGAAAGUUAUGUGGGCAGGACCGGGAUGAGUCUUCAAACAAGAAAUCAAGAUGGCGUCUUUAGGUUGCCCGAUUGAACUUAAUCGGAUUAACUUAAAAAAAUAAUAGAAAAAAUAAAUAUUUUUGAAAUAU